UGUAGGAGUGAGCCUGCUCGCGAUAGCGGUCUUGCAUUCAACAUUGCGGCGACUGGCAGACCGCUAUCGCGAGCAGGCUCACUCCUACA
rnacentral:antisense_RNA from 1 species